rnacentral:lncRNA from 1 species
ACCGAGCAAAAACAUGGUUCGGUUGUGUCGUCAAACUGUCAACCGAGCACAUACACAUGCUAUUUUCACUGGGCUGUACCGGUUGCGCCGUAACAACAUACCUGGUGAAUGGCGCGCUCCAGGAGAAGCACGGCUGAUUUGGUGGACACCGGCGAAUGGACGCCGUCUGCUAUGGCCGCCCCGCACGCUUCCGUACGCCGCCCAUUUCUAAACCGUGAGCGUGCACGCGGAACACACAUGCUGGUUCUAACACCCGUGUAAGUGUGUGCACUAUAGGGUAUAGGGUAGAUAUAAGAUAGUGCGGAUGUUUGACCCUGUGACGACCAAGGUGGAUUUGGAACUAUAGAGGGUCAAUAUAUAAUAAUCCAUCCGUAAGAAGUGGUAAUCUAGUUGGGUGGGGAAAAAAUGGAUCCAAAUAUUCAGGGCCCUUUAAAAGGUAAGACUGUGAAAACGACGGAGUAGAAAGGAAGAAAUAAAUUAUGGAUUUAUCCUGUUGGCAAGAAAAUUAAUUUGGUUUUAUGCAUGACAGUGAACAAUAUUGGGGUGUGCCCUCUGCUCUAGU